GACAGAGGCCUCAAGCGUUAGGCGGAAUCACUGGGCUUAAAAGCGUGUGUAGGCGGAUCGUUAAGUACCUUGUGAAAUCCCACGGCUCACCCGUGGAACUGCUGGGUAUACUGGCGGUCUUGGGCCAACUAGGGGCAGCUGGAACAAGCGGUGGGAGCGGUGAAAUGCGUAGAUAUCGCUUGGAACGCCGAAGGUGAAAACAGGCUGCUGGGGUUGUGCCGACGCUGAGACACGAAAGCCAGGGGAGCAAACGGG
rnacentral:rRNA from 1 species